GCUGCGCGGCGGGCGGAGGGCUCAGCGUGCGGCGCCCGGACUCAGCAGGCGGCGCGCAUGGCUGGGCGCGGGCUGGGCAGGGCUGGGACGCGGGGCCGGCUGUGUGUGCUGGGGAGGCUCUGCCGCUCUUCUUCCUCAGCUCGGACGCCUGCUCGCCGCCACUGCCACCUCUGCCGCCGCCGCCUCUACAUCCCGGCUCAAGCUACGCCGCCUCUGCCGCCGCCACCGCGCGCCCGCCCGGCCAGGAGCUCUGAACGCUGCCCGGGGGCUGCCGGCAAAACCCGGACCGGACUCGCCGCUCUCUCCUCCCCCCUCCACCUCCGCUCCCCUCCCUCCUCCCGCCGCCUCCCUCCCAGCGCAGCUCUGGCCACUUGGACGCCGCUGCCGCUGAGGCUGGAGCCACAGCCACUGCGCCUCCAGCUCCCCGCGCCCUGGUGAGUUCACAGAUGAGGAAACUGACUGAGAAGAUACCAGCCCAAUCUCUGGGUCGACUACAUAGUGAUGCCCCAGGACCGUGGCCUAUACAGUGGAGUCUGAAACUGCCUGGAACGCAGCAUCACACAGGAGAUACUGGUUGAAAAAGAGCUGGAAAGCUCAUCCCUGCUGGAGGAGGUGCCCAGUGGGGAUGGACAGACUUGGGGCCAUACAUCUCGGCCCUUACUCCCAUCUGUGCCCCCUCCAUCUGCCCAGUUUAAGCUAAUCCUCCAGCUGCAGAUGCUUUCCUUCCAGGGACCCACAGAGUGAGCCCCAGGCUCCCAUAAUCCCAAACUGUCUAUAAUCCCGAAGUGGAAGUUCUCCAAUUCUCUGGGAUUUAGGGGGGCAGAAUGGUACUGCAAGCUGAAAGUCAGGCCAGGCAGAGAAAACAAUCCCCAGGCUCAAGAUGAAGGAGAGGGAGGGACAGAGCAGUUAGGAAGCUGGCCCAGAGCCAGGCAUGGUGGUGCACAUCUGUAAUCCCAGU